GUGCUCGCUUUGGCAGCACAUAUACUAAAAUCAGAACAAUACAGAGAAGAUUAGCAUGGUCCCUGUGCAAAGAUGACAUGAAAAUUCAUGAAGUGUUCCAUAUAUUU